GUGAACAGCAGCUUACAGCUGAAUCCAACUCUCUUCGCCUGUGAUGUUAACGCAGGUGACAAUGCAGAGGAGGUCAGUUUGUGGGCCAAGUCUCCACCCUCAAAGAAAAAGAAGCCAAUCAUCAUUACCUUGAAUGACUCAGAGGAUGAGUCUGAGCCAGAGGACAAAGAUCCGUGAGUUACUUGCUGCUAAAGGUGUACUCUGCCCUGCUUUCAUUUACUGUGUUUACUGUAUAUGUAGCAUGUUUUUGUACUACCCCAGGCAACCAGAAGGUGGCAGUAGUGUAUUUAAUUUGUAUUUAUGUACAAUAUUUCAAGUAUGGUUUUAAAGCUGCAAUAUUUAACUUUUUUGGGGACUUGACCAAAUUCACAUGUAAAUGUGUGUUAUAGAGCUGUCAUUUUCAUGGAAAGCACUGAAUCUGUUCUAUGUGUACCAUUUCUAUGCUCCCUGUUCUUAAGUUUUGUUUUUGCGUUUUUUUUACUUUCAGUUUUGCACACCAACUUCAAACCACUGAAAAUACAAUAUUUUUGGUUAUGGAAAAGAUAUUUCACAGCGGUUUAGAUGGUACAAUGAUUCUCUACACUAUACUUGCUUAUUUUGUCACACAAACUGAAAUUAGGCAAACUAAUUAGAAUUUUAGCAACCAGGAAAUAGUGUCCGAUUUCUGCAAGUAGCCUUGCAUGAGCUUUGGCUUGUGCGAGCCAGAGCGGCUCACAAUUCUUAGUGUAGUAACCUCUUCCCCCCCCCCCCCCCACCCUCUAAAAUACUCUCUCUCUCUCAGGGUAGACAUCCGUUCCCCCUCUCCACCCCCACCUCCAGGCAGCCCUUUUGUCAAAGUAUCCAAUCGGGCCAAUCGAAAGAUUCUAGAGAUCAACAGAAAGCUAAAGGCUGUGGGCUCUCUCCUCUCUCCCGAGGCCAAGGAGCGGUCUGGACGCCGCGGCUGCCACUCCCCUCCUCUCACCGAGUACGACGAUGAUGAUAUCAUCCUCGUGUCCCCAAACUCCCGGCCCAGGAGCCAGCCCCUCGCCCCCUCCCAAGAUCACAGCCCCCUGACAUCCAGAGAGAUCGCCCUCAAGUUCCGCAGCCGGACAGACCUCUACAAGAUCCCUGUGUUAACUGUAAGAAUCAGGAAGAGCACCACUUCCUGUUGUGUCAUAGUGAUGCUCAAGUGA
rnacentral:lncRNA from 1 species